ACUACUUACAGGCCAUCUAUACUUUUAUGAUAAUAUCAAAACAGUCUACUGCUAUAUCCCUAAAGUCGGGUGCAAAACAAUGAAACUCCUAUUCUACAAUCUAGAGCACAAUGAAACCUUACGUUUAAACACUGAUGGUACUGCUGAACUGCGACCAAAGAUAGAUAACUUUACGGAUCCUAAGUUACGCAAGUCUGGUUAUAUACACAGCCGAGGUUUCAAAACUUUUAAUAACUACAGCAAGGAAGAAGUAAGCCUGCGCCUUGCAACCUACAGGAAGAUCAUCGUUGUUCGCGACCCUUUGGAGAGGUUGGCAUCUGCGUGGCUUGGCAAAUUCGUCAACAUGCCAGCACGCGGCUCUUUGAGGUGGGUCCGUGCUUUAAAUAUACGCCUGAGAAAAUAUCGAGAUCGUAACCGACCAAACAAGUCGAGCAAUGUAAAGGAAGAAGGGAC